ensembl:snoRNA
UGGGUGUUCAAUCCUUGCUCUCCAUGGCCCCUUGGGGAUUAGGGCAGCACCAUGUCUGUUCUCAGGCUGGAUUGGUUGGGCCAAUGCCUGACCCA